ensembl:misc_RNA
AAGAAUGACAGGAGACUGAAGGCCUCUGUUUAUUCACAGAAGAGGUACAGCACUUGCAGCAACGGUUUCCCCACACUGCCCCCCUGUGGAAGUGCCUCAACCCUGAACAGGAGAGACAAACAUAUAGAGGUGAGAAAGGCAUUCAGUCUACCUACUCUGCUGAGGCUGCC